GAUGAACGUUGGCGGUGUGCCUAAUACAUGCAAGUCGAACGGAGUUAAUAGCAAUAUUGACUUAGUGGCGAACGGGUGAGUAACGCGUUGGUGAUCUGCCUUGAAGUGUGGAAUAACGCUCCGAAAGGAGCGCUAAUACCGCAUGUGCUCUCAAUUUUUAGAAAGUUGAGAGGAAAGGAUUUAUUCGCUUCGAGAGGAGCCUGCGUCCCAUCAGCUGGUUGGUAGGGUAAAGGCCUACCAAGGCAAUGACGGGUAGGGGACCUGAGAGGGUGGCCCCCCACAAUGGAACUGAAACACGGUCCAUACACCUACGGGUGGCAGCAGUAGGGAAUAUUAGAAAUGGACGAAAGUCUGAUCUAGCAACACCGCGUGUGCGAAGAAGGCCUUCGGUCGUAAAGCACUUUUGGUAAGGAAGUAGGAAGGAAUGUACUUCCAGAAUAAAGUCUCGGCUAACUAACGUGCCAGCAGCCGCCGGUAAACUCGUCUCUA
rnacentral:rRNA from 1 species